CAGCACCAAGACAACUCGUCACCGUCGUUUGUUGCGUCGUGACCACCUUUUCGAUCAAGCACCCCGCCGGAGGAAGCUAGACGGACAACGCGUCGGCCUCCCCAGACUGGCAAAGUACGGAUCGGAAAGUUUGCGGAAGUGCAUCGGUCCUGAUACCAGCUGCCUUCAUUCAGAAGCAUGGGGUAAUCAGCGCGAACACCGUCGAAGACUCGCGAAGAAAGGAAGUCGGACAAAUGACGGGGCGGGAUCAGCGGGAUGCUGGAGUUCCGGUAAUACGCCGGGCGCGUAUGGUCGGUAGGACGAGAGGUUUGAGCGCCACGAGUCGAGAUAGGGGCAAAGGGUUAGACGAACAAACAUCGUUAAUUUGCACGCGAAAACCCGCUCUCCGACCCGGUGGAGGCCAAAAGGUCAACAUUACCGCGGUUACGUGUAUACACGGCAAAUACUCCGCGCACCCCGUGGCUCGUACACGUUCACCCCGGAUUCGACGCUGAGUCUUCAGUCGCUUCGAGCCCCGAUGGACCCCCACAACCAACUUAAUUGUCUAAUUGGCAAAUAAAUCUCAUUGUUUCGCGAUCGAUACGUGCCGCCUGGCUUAACACGACCGUUUUUUCCUUCUUUUUUUUUUGAAUUUUCAACACCGCAAUUUGCGCGAGUGCUCCUGAACGCAGUCGAACGAUUGAGAUGGAUCAUGCUGCGAACACUUGACACCGUGGGUGUCACCGUGUUCCUUCGUGGACCCAUCGAUCGUACAGGAUAUCGUGUAUUUGCUCAAACCGCGAGAAGAACACCGCGCGAUGGAACUCUUGAGGUUUCACGCUUAAUCGGCUGCACAUUUCGAGCGGAAACUUGCAGCCGCCGUUCCAGUAACUUUUGGGAUUUGAUUGUGACCAUUGAUUGAAAAAUCCAAAGCGUUCUUCUUAACUUGAUAAAAUUAAUAAAGAUUGAAUAAAGAGAAAUUAUCUUCUUUUUUUCCCUUUUUCAAGUAUCUUCUUCAAUUUCAGAAUAAUAAUUCCAUUUUCUGCAUUGACGUGCUAAUACAUAUCUACAAUGCGCAACUUUUUCAAGAUUGGAUUAUAUAAUUUCAUUACAUAAUCCUCUUUUGUCCAAAGACGCGCGCCGCGUAAAACGCGUCGCGAUACGUUUUAUCGCACGCAAGUGAACGAACGGCCUAUGUAUGUAUGUACAAUGCAAUUGCUGAAAUCCUCUCAAGAUAGUUAAUCGCAUUUGAUUGGAGAACGAACUAGUGGUAUAGCGAGCUGGAAGGAGGCAGAGUCGAACGAUUAUCGAACAAUAGUUUGUUAGUGAGGUCCGCUGGCUGUAUUGUUCUCCGAGAAACGUGGAUUCAGCUCGAGUGCGCGAAUCAUUCUGUUUCCACAUGUAAAUCGUACGAUACACACCCAUCUUGUAGAAUCCGCGAGAUCAUUUUGCAUCUCUCGCGCGAUUCUUUCGAGAGUAAUCGAUAUUUGAAGUUCGUCAUCUUUUUCGAAUCGAGUUACGCGAUUUUUUAUUUUUAUAAAUCGGUCUCAUAUCAUAUUUAUACAUAAUUUUUAUACAUGAAUAUACAUAGACAAAUGUUUCCCAUUAAAACAUUUCAAGUUCACAUAUAUCGAUAUAUAUCGAUAUACACGAUUGAAAAAUAGCGGUUUAUAUUUUUUGUGCAGUUCGUUGUUUCGAAGGCCCCGCAAUCAAUGGCAAAUGCAAA